AGUGAGAGUGGGGUGACCAACUGUCCUGGUUUGCCUAGGACCAAGGCGGGGGGGUCUUGGAAUAUUGGAUUUUCGAUUUUAAAACUGGGACGGUCCCAGGCAAACUGGGACAAGUUGGUGACCCUGGGAGAAAGUGCUCUCUGGCUGUUCAAAGGUGGGAGAUGCGCCGCAGAGCCAGGGAGGGGCCGUCCUGAAGCUUUGAAUUUGUGCCACUCCCUAAGACCAGAACAAGAGGGGAGUUUUCGGAUUGUUUUAUUAUGCAAUUUCUUCCUUCCUCAGGAACUCAGCCCUCUUGGUUAUUUGUGAAGCAGUUUCAGGGCCUCAUAAUUCUACGGUUGCUGGCUGCACAUGAAACUGGUGGGAGAAGAUGUGGGCUGGGAACUGUCUUUGGGGAAAACACCUUGAUAAGCGUCUGGGAGGCUCACCAGGCUCCGUGGGCUGGGUGUGAUAAGGUGAGCACCUCUUCAGCUGACACACCGGAAGGCUCUGUCUCGGGCUGGGGGCUCUGGAAAAUGCUCUCAUCAUGGAAGAGCUGGUCUAUCUCUAAAAUGGACUCACAUGCCCCACCUCUCACGGGGGCUGUGGAUGUUGUCAUUCGCAUGAAGAGAGAACUUAACUGGAGUUUUCUUCUCUCCGUGCUGGGGAGCAAAGUCUUCACUGAGCUGACAGGAGCUGGUGUGUGUUGCAGGAGGAGAGAUUUUGGCUCAGGAAAGAAUGUUCUCACCCUCUGGGAGGCCCUGAGCACCCUCCUUAUGAAAGAGAGUGUACAAGCCUGGUGUGUUUCUAAGUUCCUGGCCUUCCUGAUAAGUCCCGAAGGCCCACAUCAGAAAAAGAGGUAAAACAUGCCCUUAAUGUUUCUAGAGAGUGGAAAGGAAAACCCCCUGCCUAAGGGUGGGCUCCUUGGGCUGGGGAGGGAGCUGCCAUGGAGCAGGGUGCCAAGGGGUGCAACAGCCUGGACCCUUUCUCCCUGCCCCUGAGGCCGCCCCACUUUUGGAGUGUGGGCACCGAGCCCCUGGGGACUCGCACACCGGUGCCUGAGCUCGGCACGGUGGGGAUGAAGUUGCCAGCUGAGUGUCUCCUCUUUGGAAGGGUUACGGUGCCCUGAACCAGAAGCCGGGCAACAUGAGGCAGCCACAGUGGACAGAUGUCAAGGACCCGCGCCCAAGCAGAACCAUGCAGCGGCACAUUGACAGCAGUGACGAGCCAGCCGGCAGCAUCCCCGAGUUCCUGGACAAUCCAAGAGUGUGAUCCAGGCUUCCUGUCAGUGUGGGCUGAGAGGGGGUGCGGCUGGUUUGAACUGAACUUGAAGAAUGGAGCUAGGAUAAGAUUUGCUGCCAGAGGGGGUGCAAGAGUCUCUAUUUGUCACACCAGAACUUAGAAGAAGAGAGGGCUGCUGGUUCCUGGUGACACCUGGGGGAAUCAGGGGCAGGUUGUGUCCACCCACCGCAGCCAAGCACCUUGUCCCCCACCCACUUCUGCUCCAAGCUGUGACUCUCAGCAUCUCUCAACCUCUCAAGCCUCACAGGAAACUCCGAGACCUGACUCUGCAUGAGCAAAGCAGACCCAGGCAAGGAGGAGGCCACGGGGCAGGGCUCAGCCCCCAAUCAAGUGUCCUGGGGCUCUGGAGAAGCCACAGAGGUGGCAGGGAGCGGGAGGCUGUACAGAGAGAGGAAGGAAAUGAGCUGCCAGCAGUCUGUGAAGGCUCAAAAUGACUUAUGAAGGGAAGGUCUUGGCGGGGCUGGAACAGGGAGGGUGUGAACAGCAUUGCCGAGACUAGAGGUUCAGAAGGCCACCAAGACUGCUCGUCUUGCAGACAGGCCGUUUCUCCCCACAUUGGCGAUGAGGAAGAGCAAGCAAAGAUGUUAGGGGAGCCGGCCAAAGCUCUGUGCAGAGAGGCUUAGAGUGGAAAUGUGUCACCUCUCCGGUUCACGGUUCCUCACCUUCUAGAAGCCAGUCAGCAUUCUUGGUGACCUUGACUUCCAGGCCCCGUGUGGUUUCUGUCGCUAGAAGAACACAGACUCAGCAGUCAGGCCAGCGAGUGUCUGAGUCGCAGCUCCGUCACUUACUAGCACUGCUUGGGCAAAUCACUUGAGCUCUCUGAGCCUCAGUUUCCCCAUCUGUAAAAUGGGGAUUAUAAUAUUUGCCAGAUAGGGCUGUCGUGGAAGUCAACAGAAAUAGAAAGUGAAAGCAAUUUGUCAUAAUUGUCUCUGAUCAAGACUUAAGGAAUGAGCAUUUGCUCUGUGCCAGCCCUGCUCCUGAAUUAUCUCAUCCAGUUCUCUCUGUAGUCUCUCUUGACAGAUGAGAGAGGCAGAGCCCAGAGAGGCAGAGUGAUUUUCCCAGGGUUUCUCAGCUUUAAAGUGGCUGAGCCUGGCCUGAAACCCAGGCAGUCCAGCAUCCAGGUUCUAGAUGUCUCCCUAUACUUCGGAUACAAAGCAGCUUGUCAUUGGUGCCAAAUGUGAGGCUGCAAUCUACAGUGGGAAUAUGAAGAAAGGAAGCAUCGUUUUGAGAAAGCUUCUUGGAAGGUACAGGAUGUGAGCUGAAAUUUU
rnacentral:lncRNA from 1 species